CGACUAUAAUUGUACUUCGUUGU
rnacentral:siRNA from 1 species